GUUUGUAGCCACAUUGUAGCUACUGUAGCAGCGUGAGUAGCAAGCGCUAGCAAUUUAGUGGACAACUAUCCUAAAAUGGACAUAUCUGACAUGAAUAACAAGUAACAUUUUCCUCAGUACCUGUAAUUAAUGAAGUGGACACCGACCAGAAUAAUUAUCCUACGGUAUAGGGUCCUCCUCUCGCAUAUUGCUCGGUCUGCUGCUCCAUCGUUGUGGUCAGGACAGGUGCACGAACCCUCUUUGAUGUCCACACUCAGAGGCCAAGUCCAACGAGAUAUGAACAUUUUAAUUUCCUUGUAGUUCCAAUGUUGUUCCAAAUCUUUUUUGAUCUUUUUUUUCAGUAGAGUGAUUGGCUGAGCUAAUGGUACAAAAAAAAUCACUCCAAACUAAAUGAGGAAAGAUCUAUCGGUUUGGGUUAGGGUUUUACAUUACGGUUUGUUGUCACCAUCAUGUCCAUACAGUAUUGAUGACAUUUUGCCCCAAGGCAGACUUCCGAUCGUCCAACAGAUUUUUUUGUGACUGAUCCAUGUGAAAAGUCCAACAUCAGCUUGUGAAGGAGAAUGCUGCAUGAGUCAUUUUCAAUGACACCCGUUAUAUGGCAUGUCUGGUCCAGUGCAGUCAAAAAUGUGAUUUUCCUGUGUUUUAUCAAUAUUUCCACAUUGAGGUUGGAAUAAUAAUGUGCAAUUGUGAAAAUUAUGAAAAUGCCCUUAUAGUGUAAAAGAUGUUUGAAAAGACCACCUGAAACUUCAGCCUGUUUUGGUGGGAGGGAGUUAUGGCCUUCGAUGGUGACAUCACCAUGUAGUAAAUUAGUUAAUGGCCAAUAAGAAAGAGUUCCAAAACUCUGUCAAUAACAGCUCAUUUUCAGUUUUCCCUCCCAACUCAAACCACUGACAGUUCUAGCAAAAUUAUUGCAUGAGAAAUUGGUUUUUGCUAAGAAGCUAUUUGUUUCUUAUUUUUGACCAUUUUUAUGGAAAACAAUCACAGUAAGGUACUUAAUUUUUACCCAGAAAUGAUUUGAAGAUGAGAUAAAAACGGCUGCAUUGGUACUUUACUUAAACAAUUCCAUCCUCAAAAUAUGGAAAGAUAUUUCUGCCCUCAGGCUAAGAUUUAAUAAGGAAAACAGUGUUUAUGAAAGUGUUUACAUAAUGUAGUUGAAUUAAGAGAAACUCAACUGCAUAUUAUUAAUAAAAAAGGACUUAUUAAUGUAAAAGUUCAGAGUGCUGAGGGAGAGACUGCUGGUGCAUGUAGACAGCAUUACAAAAAUCAUGUAAGGUCCAAUUCCUCAUUAAGCCCUUCGGGGUGUAGAGUUUUUAAUGAGGAAUUGGAGGGCUUAAUAAGGAAUUGGACAUUGUUGCAUGUUUCUUGUAAUGUUGUCUACAGGCACCAGCAGUCCCUUCAAAGCCCUGAUGAGCCCGAAACGUGUGCUCCAUAUGUGUUUUAUAGCACCUUGCACGUUCUGUAAUUUUUGAGCAUGGAUUGAAUUAAUGUCACGUCCUGACCAUAGAAAGCCUGUAUUUUCUAUGGUAGAGUCGGUCAGGGCGUGACUAGGUUUUUUUUUGUCUAGUUUAUUAUUUCUACGUGGGGUUCUAGGUUUAAUUUUCUAUGUUGGUGUUUGUGUAUGAUUCCCAAUUAGAGGCAGCUGGUAAUCGUUGUCUCUAAUUGGGGAUCAUACUUAAGUUGUAUUUUUUCCACCUGUGGGUUAUGGAAUGUUGUUUAUGUUUAGUUGCCUGUUAGCACUGCAUUGUCGUCAUGGUUCGUUUAUUGUUUUUGUUUUUUUCUAAGUUUCAC
ensembl:lncRNA